GGCACGCCUAAUACAUGCAAGUCGAACGAAGUAGCAAUACUUAGUGGCAGACGGGUGAGUAACAUGUAGGUAUCUUCCCUUUGGUGAGGAAUAACACGAGGAAACUUGUGCUAAUACCUCAUAAGUCUUUACGGAGAAAGCUUUAUGCGCCAAUGGAUGAGCCUGCACUUGAUUAGUUUGUUGGUGGGGUAAUGGCCUACCAAGACAAUGAUCAAUAGCUGAUUUGAGAGGAUGAUCAGCCACAUUGGGACUGAGACACGGCCCAAACUCCUACGGGAGGCAGCAGUAGGGAAUCUUGCACAAUGGGGGAAACCCUGAUGCAGCGAUGCCGCGUGAGUGAAGAAGGCCUUUGGGUUGUAAAGCUCUUUCGUCGGGGAAGAAAAUGACUGUACCCGAAUAAGAAGGUCCGGCUAACUUCGUGCCAGCAGCCGCGGUAAUACGAAGGGACCUAGCGUAGUUCGGAAUUACUGGGCUUAAAGAGUUCGUAGGUGGUUAAAAAAGUUGGUGGUGAAAUCCCAGAGCUUAACUCUGGAACUGCCAUCAAAACUUUUUAGCUAGAGUAUGAUAGAGGAAAGCAGAAUUUCUAGUGUAGAGGUGAAAUUCGUAGAUAUUAGAAAGAAUACCAAUUGCGAAGGCAGCUUUCUGGAUCAUUACUGACGCUGAGGAACGAAAGCAUGGGUAGCGAAGAGGAUUAGAUACCCUCGUAGUCCAUGCCGUAAACGAUGUGUGUUAGACGUUGGAAAUUUAUUUUCAGUGUCGCAGCGAAAGCAAUAAACACACCGCCUGGGGAGUACG
rnacentral:rRNA from 1 species